UUAUUACUCUCUCUGUCUAACAAAAGAUGUCUCAAGUUUUUUAAAAUUUGAAUGUAUGUAAACAUGACUUAGUGUAUAGAUGCAUUCAAAUUUACUCAAAGUUGAGACAUGUCUUUUGUUGAACGGAGGAAUACUUU
rnacentral:pre_miRNA from 1 species